ACUCCUACGGGAGGCAGCAGUAGGGAAUCUUCCACCAUGGGCGCAAGCCUGAUGGAGCAACACCGCGUGAGUGAAGAAGGGUUUCGGCUCGUAAAGCUCUGUUGUUGGAGAAGAACGUGCGUGAGAGUAACUGUUCACGCAGUGACGGUAUCCAACCAGAAAGUCACGGCUAACUACGUGCCAGCAGCCGCGGUAAUAC
rnacentral:rRNA from 1 species